rnacentral:rRNA from 1 species
UACGGAGGGUGCAAGCGUUGCUCGGAAUUAUUGGGCGCAAAGCGCACGCAGGCGGCAUGGUAAGUCAGUUGUGAAACUCCCGGGCUUAACUUGGGAACUGCAGCUGAUACUGCCAUGCUUGAGUACGGAAGAGGGGAGCGGAAUUCCCAGUGUAGAGGUGAAAUUCGUAGAUAUUGGGAGGAACACCGGGUGGCGAAAGGCGGCUCCCUGGUCCGAUACUGACGCUCAUGUGCGAAAGGCGUGGGGAGCAAACAGG